CCUACGGGAGGCAGCAGUGAGGAAUAUUGGUCAAUGGACGAGAGUCUGAACCAGCCAAGUAGCGUGAAGGAUGACUGCCCUAUGGGUUGUAAACUUCUUUUAUAAAGGAAUAAAACGAGGCACGUGUGCCUUUUUGCAUGUACUUUAUGAUUAAGGAUCGGCUAACUCCGUGCCAGCAGCCGCGGUAAUACGGAGGAUCCGAGCGUUAUCCGGAUUUAUUGGGUUUAAAGGGAGCGUAGAUGGGUUGUUAAGUCAGUUGUGAAAGUUUGCGGCUCAACCGUAAAAUUGCAAUUGAUACUGGCAGUCUUGAGUACAGUUGAGGUAAGCGGAAUUCGUGGUGUAGCGGUGAAAUGCUUAGAUAUCACGAAGAACCCCGAUUGCGAAGGCAGCUUACUAAACUGUGACUGACAUUGAUGCUCGAAAGUGUGGGGAUCAAACAGGAUUAGAUACCCGAGUAGUC
rnacentral:rRNA from 1 species